UGGGGAGUUAAUUGCUUCCUAUACACACCCCUCCAUGCACAGCAUAAAAGGGGUGUGUUGGGAGGGCUCUGGUUUGGCAAGGAGGAUGAGAUAGGAAGGAAGCUGAGUCUAGUAUUUGAGAUCAGGUCUGAACAAGGUCCUGCUCUCUGGUGCUUUCCUGAUUUGAUGGGAAUAUCCUCAGAAGCUCUCCCACAGCCAAUGGGACCCAGGCAGGAGGUGGACCUUGAUAUCAUCAGAUCAUUCAGCUGAAGCAGUGUUUAUAAAAAGCAGAAGUAUGAAUUUGUACAUUGG
rnacentral:lncRNA from 1 species